GCUGUCAACUAAAACCUCUCUGGGUUUUGAAAAUCCAACAAGUGAACUGAUUCUGCCUCCACGUUUUCUGUUUGUUGGUUCCUCCUCCGACCAGCAGGCGGCGCCUCCUGCUUUGGAUUGAGGCUGUUUGUGAGGAAGUUGAGGUCGAUCAGCUGCAGCUGAUUCUGGUUUGUUGUUGUUCCUGUUGUGGCUGUACAGUAACUACAGAUACAGGAUGCAGGACAGUGAAUCCAGCUUCUCCUCCUCCACCUCCUCCUGAAGCCUUCAUCUUCUUCAUCAUCAGCUGCUCAGUGACUCUGUUGGACGUCUCACCGUGUGGCAGCAGCUCAGGAGUUUGCAGUCAACCAAGGCCGACUCAGAAUCACUCCCACCGGGAAGAUCUGUGAAGGAAGGUCCACCCGGCUGGUCCAGAAGCUCCGGUCCAGCAGAGCAGCGUCAGGAUGGAGACGUAACCGGGAACCACCCUUGAACUCCAGUCCAGUGACACUCCACUCCACACCACAGACCACAACCUUUCCACUCCACAAUCACCCUCCACAAGGUUCCCAGCGGGGAUUCGAACCAUGCCCGUCCACAUGACAGACAUACACCCUCUGUGUGAGCUAUCUUUCACACAAGGUCCCUGGUGGAGUUUGUUGUAAUGAUGGUUGCAAGAGGUGUCAUGCAGCCAAAGUUUAAAAAGAGCCUUGAGCUGGAUUCAAACCAAGGACCUCCUGGAUGAGAGGCAGAUAACUUACCACUGCACUAUCCUUCCUACUGGGUAUAGCUGUUAGUUUUCGUAAAUGAUGGUACACAAAAGUAUUAAGGAAGUGAAGAUAAUAAAGGUACUAAGGUGGAUUUGAGAGGCAAAAAACUUACCCCUACACCAGGUGUCCUACAAGAUGUUGCUCUAACUUUGCUUAAAUGAUGCUAUCAAUUAGUACUGGCGCAACCAAACAACAAAUAAAAGGUGUGAGUGGAGAUCUGAAUCAUGCGAGGUUGUUUCUGACACUGAAUACACCCAAUCUCAUCUGAUCUGCAAAGCUAAGCAGGGUUGGGCCAGGUUAGUAUUUGGAUGGGAGACUACCUGGGAAUACCAGGUGCUGUAAGCUUUUUACUUCUCCUCACAACCUCAGCAAGACACUGCUGGUCAUUCACUAGAGACAGCUAUCAACUAAAACCUCUUGGUUUCUUUAUUAUACACUCUAUGAGGUGGAUAAGCUGCAGCUCAUGCUGAUUUAUUGCUGGUUCUGGUUGGAGCCAAAGAACAAACGCGUCACCUGUUGGAGCAGCUGAUGUCCUGCAGCCUCUUCACCACAGAAAGCCUCUGACAGCUUCAAUUCUUUACACUCCGACUGCACGACACCAAUCACAUAGGAACAUUUACAUGUAUGGAACAAAGAGCUGAGCUGACACUCAACAUGUGUUUGAGCAUUUAUUGAUAAAGACAUUCAAACAUGUCUAGAGAUAGAACACCAAUGCACGGUAUAAGAAAGGUCAGAACAGACUUCACCUGCUCAGGAAACUGAGGUCCUUCGGGGUGCAGGGAGCAAUUCUGAGGACCUUUUAUGGUUGUGUGGUGGUAUCAGCCAUCCUGUAUGGACUGGUCUGCUGGAGCAGCAGCAUCACGGCUGCAGACAGGAAGAGACUAAAGAAACUGGUUAAGAAAGCAAGCUCUGUCCUGGGCUGGUGGUAGACAGGAGGAUGAUGACAAAGCUGUUGUCUAUCAUGGAGGACAUCUCCCACCCCCUGCAGGAAACAGGACCAUCACCGGCAGCUCCUUCAGGGACAGACUGCUUCACCCACGAUGUUUGAAGGAGGUCCUUCCUUCCUGCAGCAGUCAGACUGUGUUCAAUCAAGCCUGCUCCCAGUAGUUCAGAUCACCCAUGAAGUAACUGCAAUAAAAUGUAAAUAAGUCAAUAUGUGCAAUUUCACAGGUUUUUUUUUUUUAACAAGC
ensembl:lncRNA